rnacentral:misc_RNA from 1 species
GAAAUGCGAUACUUGGUGUGAAUUGUAAAAUCCCGCGAACCAUCGAGUCUUUGAAUGCAAGUUGCGCCCGAAGCCAUUAGGUUGCGGGCACGUCUGCCUGGGUGUCUCACGUUGUGUCGCCCGCGCCCCCUCCUCCCCCUCCCCACAAAGGGGGGAAGAAGGGCUACGGGCGGAUGUUGGACCCCCGCGCGCGGUCAGCCCAAAAGCGAGUCCCCCGCGGCGGACGACGUGUCGCGACGAGUGGUUGUUGACAAACCGUUGCGUCGCCUCGCGCGCAUUCGGUCCGUCUCGGGAGGCCUGUCGUGACCCUAUUGCGCCGCCACCAAGGCACUCCGAUCGCGACCCCAGGUCAGGCGGGAUUACCCACUUAGUUUAA